CCUACGGGUGGCAGCAGUGGGGGAUUUUCCACAAUGGGCGCAAGCCUGAUGCAGCCAUGCCGCGUGUAUGAAGAAGGCCUUCGGGUUGUAAAGUACUUUCAGCGGGGAGGAAGGGAGUAAAGUUAAUACCUUUGCUCAUUGACGUUACCCGCAGAAGAAGCACCGGCUAACUCCGUGCCAGCAGCCGCGGUAAUACGGAGGGUGCAAGCGUCAAUCGGAAUUACUGGGCGUAAAGCGCACGCAGGCGGUCUGUCAAGUCGGAUGUGAAAUCCCCGGGCUCAACCUGGGAACUGCAUUCGAAACUGGCAGGCUAGAGUCUUGUAGAGGGGGGUAGAAUUCCAGGUGUAGAGGUGAAAUUCGUAGAUAUUGGGAAGAACACCGGUGGCGAAGGCGGCCCCCUGGACGAAGACUGACGCUCAGGUGCGAAAGCGUGGGGAGCAAACAGGAUUAGAUACCCGGGUAGUC
rnacentral:rRNA from 1 species